rnacentral:tRNA from 1 species
AAAAUUAAAAGUAUACAAAUAAAUAUCACUUUCUUUAA